rnacentral:lncRNA from 10 species
UUGCACUCUAAGCAGACUUCCUAGGUAGCUCUGAAACAGGUGGUCUGUAGACCACACUUUAAGAAUUAUCUUCAAGGAUUGGGCUAGUUUUAGUUUGUAGUGAUUUCUUGUGUCUCUUAAUGAAGGCCUAGACAAUAUAGUCUGGAUUGAUUGGAUAAACACAGAGGAACAAGAGAGCGGCAGAAUUGUACCAUGCAUGCAGCAGGCCAUGCUCUACACGGGCCUCUCAGGAUGCAGCAGAGAGGUACCCUGGGU